UAUGUAGGGUGCGAGCGUUGUCCGGAAUUAUUGGGCGUAAAGAGCUCGUAGGCGGUGUGUCGCGUCGGCCGUGAAAACCUGGGGCUCAACUCUGGGCGUGCGGUCGAUACGGGCAUCACUUGAGUUCGGCAGGGGAGACUGGAAUUCCUGGUGUAGCGGUGAAAUGCGCAGAUAUCAGGAGGAACACCGGUGGCGAAGGCGGGUCUCUGGGCCGAUACUGACGCUGAGGAGCGAAAGCAUGGGUAGCGAACAGG
rnacentral:rRNA from 1 species